GCCCGCCCGGCCCCGGCCCCGAGCGCCCGGAGCCGCGCAGCCGGGGGCCCUCGGGGCUCUGCCCGAACGCCGGCAGCCUUCGUGCCUCCCCCGGGCUGCCCGGGGUGGGAACGCCAAAGGUGGGGCGGCCCGGCGGGGAGCCCGGGGGCAGGAAGGCGCAGGAGGGCUCCCCGGCCGCUCGUGCGGUCGCUGACCCCUCACGCCGCUCGUUGUGUGCUCGGGGCUCCCAGCGGGGACGGCUGGGCUCGUUGUGCUUCCAGCAGCGCAGCCGGAGCGCGGCCUGUCCGUGUCGCACGGCGGGGAAGGAGCAGGGACACGGCAGCGCCCUCCCGGUCAGCUGGCGGCCUGCUGGUCGCAGGGCCCGCGCUCCGAAAUCCGCGACGGGGAGCGCGGUGCCCCUCGGCUGGGCCGGGCUGCCCCUGAGCUGCUGCUGCCCGCCGCUGAGCCCUCAGCGUGCCAGCAGCGCGCAGCCGGCACCGAGCGUGUUGUGAGGCAGCCCGCAGCACGCGGCCCCGUGUCGCUCGGUCAUCCCGCAUCCUUUCUCCUCCGUGGAUGUUUCAGACCUCUGAGCGAACGUCUGUGCCAUGCGCUGCGGUCAGGGGUGUGCCACAGGAAACGGUCCUGCUUCCUGCCACGGAAAAUAGUCCUGCGUGCUGCCCACGGGCAGAAAACAUGCUCGUCCGGGUUGUUGUGGGGUGAUGGAUAUUUGUCUGGCUGAGGAGGGCAGACUUGCUUGCUCAGGGAAGUGCUGUCUCGCUGGGGUCAUCUCGCCCCCAUUCGUAACCGCAGUACCGAGUUACAGACGGGGAGGCAGAUUCUGCGCGCGUCGUGUUGCGCCAGAUUUGUACAGCUUUCAUCGAUUUUCCGCCGGAUAAAACGCAAGCCUGCAAACGACCAAGGUCGGGCGCUCGGGGGCAGCCAGCUCCUGCUUGGCCGAGCUCGGUGCUGGGGGCGCGGCGGGGACGGGGAGCGGGGAGCGGGGCUGCCCAGCGCCUCCCCGGGCUGCCCCAGCGCCUCCCGGCCACGCCGCGGGGGUUUCACCUCCCGGGCUGCGCAACGCCCGCUCGUGCCCGCACCGAGCCCCCGGCCCCGGGCGGAGGGAGCGCGGGACGCCCCCCCGGGACGCCCCCCCGGGACGCCCCCGGCCCCUCCGCUCGCUCGGGGGCGAGGAGGGCGCCGAGCCCCGGCCCCGCGGCAGGGACGGACCCCGCGGGCGGCGGCCGGCGGCAGCGCCGGGCCUGCACUGACCCCUAGCGGCACCGGCACCGGCACCGGGAGCUCCCCGGCGGGCGGCAGCGGCUCGGCCCGGCCCGCUGGGAGAGCUUCGGCUCCCCCCCAAGGCGGCGCUGCCCUUGCCCCCAGUGCUCGUUACCUGCGGCCCCAUCGCAGUGCCGCCUGCCUGCACCCGCGGGCCUCCUGCUGCUCUGAGCAACCCAGCGAGGAGCUCCUCAAAGGGGCGGAGGGCUGAAAGCCAGAGGGUUUGCAUGCAUUUAACGUUAGCCUAACAUUUCCACGGGGGCUUGGAAGUAUCUCACCUGCAGGGGUAUUUGCUCGAGCUAUGUAACGCGAUGUGCUGUCCCUCAAGGAGCUCCUGCUCUGCACCGCUCGCUGAGGACGGCCACGGGGCUGAGCAGGGCUCCCUGGGGCGGCCUCGGGCCGGGAAAUAACGGGGCCAAAUCCAACAGCCUCGCGUGGGUGUGCUGGCCCCAAAGGGAGACCCGCCUGUGGUCAGCAUGGCGCUGGCAGCACAAGGGGGCAAAUGGAAGAUGCCUGGUACGUUACUGUGGGGUUCCUAUGAGAUUGUGCCAUUUAUUUAUUUUUAAACCUCAUUAUUUUAGAAUGAUUUUUUUUUCCUAAAAUAAAAUUUGUUUUAACUCUCUGGAUCUCCCA
rnacentral:lncRNA from 1 species